AACUCUGGUUUUUCCCUCAAAUGUAUAAAUCUUUCGCCUUUUACUAAAGAUUUCCGUGGGGGAGGACAAAUGAAGAGUGUACAUUAAUUUUUUGAGGGGCCUCAUCAUGGGCCUG